GGUGGUCAAGGGUGUUUUGCUCCAACAGCUAGUUCAGGCAAUAGUUGCUCAUGGGCUCUUUUGGUUGACCUCGACAUCUGAUGCAUCUGGGAUCACAAUCCAGCCCUCCAUUCCUAUCCAAAUUGUGCAGAUUAUUAUUGCUAUGUUUGUCAUGGACACAUGGCAGUAUUUUGUGCAUCGCUAUAUGCAUCAAAACAAAUUCCUAUACCGCCACAUCCACUCUCAACAUCAUAGGCUAGUUGUGCCAUAUGCAAUUGGGGCCCUCUAUAAUCACCCACUGGAGGGUCUCUUGCU
rnacentral:misc_RNA from 1 species